CUUUACUGUAGCUUGGAAUUGAUUUCGGGUUUAUUUUGCGCAGUAUAGGUGGGAGGCUAAGAUAUUAUGUUUUCGGAUAUAAAGGAGCCAUCAGUGAGAUACCACUCUGAUUAAACUAGAAUUCUAAUCUUGAUGCCGUUAACCGGCCAAGAGACAUUUUCUGGUGGGCAGUUUGACUGGGGCGGUCGCCUCCUAAAAAGUAACGGAGGCGUGCAAAGGUUUUCUCAGGCUGGUCGGAAAUCAGUCGUAGAGUGUAAAGGCAUAAGAAAGCUUGACUGCGAGACCUACAAGUCGAGCAGAGACGAAAGUCGGCCUUAGUGAUCCGACAGUUCUGAGUGGAAAGGCUGUCGCUCAACGGAUAAAAGUUA
rnacentral:rRNA from 1 species